rnacentral:lncRNA from 1 species
UCGAGUUGAGUUUUCGAAUUCAAAUAACUCGAAUAAUUCAAAUAAUUCGAAUAUCAAACUAUAAUAUUUUACAUUUUUACCCAAAACUCCCAAACUUUUUUACUUUUCCCUCAAAACUUUUACUCCUUCCCACUUUCCCCCCAAAACUUUUACUCCCCUCCCCUCCCAACCCCCCAAUCUACCCAAAAUUCAUUUCCCACCAAAAUUUUACUCUCUCAUUUACUUUCUCUCAAAAUUUUACUCCAAAAAACCCUCAAAACCUUUUAUUUUUCCCCAAAAUUUUUACUCCCUCCCACUUUUUCCCUAAAACUUUUAUUCCCUUCCCAUCCCACCUCUCAUCUACCCCAAACCCUCCCCC